CGGUUCAGAUAUUACUCAGAGGUCGUGU
rnacentral:piRNA from 1 species